ACUCAAAGGAAUUGACGGGGGCCCGCACAAGCGGUGGAGCAUGUGGUUUAAUUCGAUGCAACGCGAAGAACCUUACCUGGGUUUGACAUCCCCGGACCGUCCUAGAGAUAGGGCUUCCCCUUCGGGGGCCGGGAGACAGGUGCUGCAUGGCUGUCGUCAGCUCGUAUCGUGAGAUGUCGGGUUAAGUCCCUUAACGAGCGCAACCCUUAUCCCUAGUUGCCAUCAUUCAGUUGGGCACUCUAUGGAGACUGCCGGUGUUAAACCGGAGGAAGGUGGGGAUGACGUCAAGUCCUCAUGGCCUUUAUAUCCAGGGCUACACACGUGCUACAAUGGUCGGUACAAAGGGUUGCCAACCCGCGAGGGGGAGCUAAUCUCAGAAAGCCGAUCUCAGUUCGAAUUGAAGUCUGAAAUUCGACUUCAUGAAGCUGGAAUCGCUAGUAAUCGCGGAUCAGAACGCCGCGGUGAAUACGUUCCCGGGCCUUGUACACACCGCCCGU
rnacentral:rRNA from 1 species